AUUGCCUACCUCCCUCUCGCAUGCCUUCCGCCCUCGCUUUAUCUGAAUUGCUUGCUUAUACGUGCCUCACUGCCUCCUCGCUCGCCUGUUCCCGGGAAAUGUUGAGGUCUGGGCUGCUGGUAUUUACCUUCGUCACUUUCCCAGAAGCUUGCUGUUUACUCUGUUUACAGGCAUCAACGGAAAGCAACACGACAAAGGACUCAAGGUGUGGUAAAAUCAGCGUCUGUUGAGCGUGGCCGAGACGAUGCCUGAGCGAGGAAGGAAGGGAAGGAAAGCGAGUCGUAAUGAGAUAGGGAAGAACGGACCGAGGAGAAUGGCAAGGCAACUCGAGGUGUGGCGAUGUCAGGCCGGCGAGAAGGUUUGCUGAUGGUGUGGCAAAAAUAAUCGAGACUGUAAAACCUCGAGGAAUGAAGGCAGUGUCUCGCCAAAGCAUUUCCACCCUCCUGUUUGAAGCCACAAGACCUUAUUUGACCACGCUAUGCUACCUCAGUGCCACAAUACGCCACUUCAUCGCUUCGCCACACCACUCUCAGCGCCACACCACGCCACGCCACGCCACGCCAUCUCGUCGUUCUUGUGGUGAGUGUUGCUUUGAAUUUGUUGAGGCGUCGUGGCUUUCAGGCUAAGGUUAAGUCGACGGCUCAGUGUAUUAAUUUUCAGUGAGGGUGAAAGUUGUUGUUGUUUUGGCGGCAGCAGGAGGUUAUGAGGUGGCUGCUGCAAUGUUGUUAUUAUUUUAUUAUUUAUCUUCCUCAUCUUCGUAUUCCUCCUCGUCGUCAUCGUCUUCGUCAUCGUCUUCGUCUCCGUCUUCGUCUUCUUUUCCUUCUUCCACUUCUUUUUGUUUGACUAUAUGGUUUACUAAUAUACACUGAUCUUAAUAGAGAAAUUUAUUGUGCGAAUCAAAGGUUAGGAGUCAAUGUUCGCCGGCCUCGUUUUUCAUGACAACUUCCAGUCUAUUUACUAAUGUAGAAACGACUGCCAACUUAAAAGCCAUGACCACGCUUUCCGGAUUAAUCAUUUCGAAAUUAAUACCCGAAUGAAAAGUGUGUGUGUGUGUGUGUGUGUGUGUGUGUGUGUGUGUGUGUGUGUGUGUGUGUGUGUGUGUGUGUGUGUGUGUGUGUGUGUGUGUGUGUGUGUGUGUGAUCCCCAGCAACAACAAUAGUCUCCGGGAGAUAAUAAAUCGCUGCGAUCACUGAAACAAAACAUAAAAAUGACAACGUGUAAAUAAUGUAAAAUGUACUCAUGAUUGACGCGGUGGGAUUUGCUGGAACACAUUAAAUUACAUUACAGGAAUGUUUUGCCAGCGGAUGUUGGUUACAAAACAACUUGAUUGAAAUUACCGAACCUUACACCACGCGAGAAAGGCGGGUGUUAGUCCAUCAACAUAGCAAAAUUAAGAAUAAAAAAAUCCAUCCCAGAUAAAAUUACAUCGCUAUAUUCAGUUCCUGUUUUAUGCCCACGCCACUUCGAUUCGAGUUAUUAUUAGCUUCAUUAACCGCGUGCUGGGGGGUAUUUGUUGAUGUCGGUGCACCUUAAUAUGUGUUGAGCAAAGGUCGCGUCCUGAUUCGUAUCGCUUUUCCAAGAACUCCUACUGUCUAUAUUAUUAUGGUUAUUUGUAUUAUGAGCUAUGCGUUGUAUCUAUUAUCAUGUGCAUCAUUUUAAUUAACAGAAUCACAGAGCAAACAUAAAGCAAACUCCUUUCCCAAGACCCGUUCACUAGACAUUAUUAGUAAUCAAGAUAGUGUUUCUUUUAAAUCAAGUCACCGUCAGGAGUAUUAGUGGUGUUGAGUGUGAAGGGCGCUCUCUGCAUUGCCACUAAGGACAUGGUAAGUAUUGCGCGCUCUUAAAUAUAUCGCCAUGAGAGGCCGGGGCAGUACAGGGAGCUCUUUACCGUGACGACAACUCCAUGCGAGCCCAGUGGAGUGCAGGGCGGUACGCAGGCUGGCCCACAACGAUUUAUGUGCCUUGUGCAUCCGUGGCCCGUGUGUUCCCGGCGCCGCGGAGCACAAGCACCGCCGGCUGGGUGUAUACGGGUCCUGGGGCGCCGUGCUCGACCGUUUAAUUUCACGGGCGAUGAAAUAUUGCCGGCUCUGUAUAUUUCCCAGCUUUACGGAAUGGAACGUGAAGCCUCCAGCGGCACGUAAAAUUUUCGAGGAGACUGAAUAUUUUAUCAUAAGGCUGCACAAAUAAUGUACUUACACACACGGCGGGACAGUGUUUGCCCGGGAGAGGAGGAGUGGACGGGAGGGCGUGGAGUGUUGUGAGCGCCGAACACCCUCGUUGAGUUGCAUCCAGGUACGCAACAGCCACGGCCUCGCGCGCAACACACCGGCAACACACACGGCCCGGAGCGCGGCGGUUUAUUUAGUUUGCAGCGUCCAAUGUAUAAAUAAAAAUGUUGCUCGUACGAAAUGAACGACAAUAUUUCCGGCAUUUUUACUUUCGCGUGCAGCAUGAAUAAAUUUUCAAUAUUCCUCCGUUUGCGCAGUGUAUGAUGGUCCACUAAAUUUUUGAAGCAUUGUGAAAGAUUAUUACGUUGAAGUGGAGGGAGGGAGGAAGGGAAGGGAGAUAAGGGACGGGAGAGUGAGGCCUGGAGAGAGGGAGUGUGUGAAAUGAAGUGGAAGGGAA